rnacentral:rRNA from 1 species
GAUGAACGCUGGCGGCGUGCCUAAUACAUGCAAGUCGAGCGAACAGACGAGGAGCUUGCUCCUCUGACGUUAGCGGCGGACGGGUGAGUAACACGUGGAUAACCUACCUAUAAGACUGGUAUAACUUCGGGAAACCGGAGCUAAUACCGGAUAAUAUAUUGAACCGCAUGGUUCAAUAGUGAAAGACGGUUUUGCUGUCACUUAUAGAUGGAUCCGCGCCGCAUUAGCUAGUUGGUAAGGUAACGGCUUACCAAGGCAACGAUGCGUAGCCGACCUGAGAGGGUGAUCGGCCACACUGGAACUGAGACACGGUCCAGACUCCUACGGGAGGCAGCAGUAGGGAAUCUGACGCAAUGGGCGAAAGCCUGACGGAGCAACGCCGCGUGAGUGAUGAAGGUCUUCGGAUCGUAAAACUCUGUUAUUAGGGAAGAACAAAUGUGUAAGUAACUAUGCACGUCUUGACGGUACCUAAUCAGAAAGCCACGGCUAACUACGUG